ACAAGCACACACAACAGCUUGUUGUUGACAGAUUGAGACAAUGUGUUCUUCCUGGUGUUAAAGUUAAACUGGUAGUUCUUCAGAAGUCUAAGAACCUUUCUGAUCUCAUCAGAUCACAGUUUGAUUUAAAGUCAGCUUCUUCAUCACUCUGAAGAGGAGAUCUCAACUCUUCAGGAGGACCAGGAGACCUGGAGAUGGCUCACAGACCAAGAAGAGACUUCCCUCCUCAUCUCUCUGAAUUAAUGGACAAACUUAAAGAACAUGCAGCUUCAUUCAUCAGAGAGUUUGACAGCAG